rnacentral:rRNA from 1 species
GCGAACAUGGGCGAAAGCCUGAUCCAGCCAUGCAGCGUGUGUGAAGAAGGUCUUCGGAUUGUAAAGCACUUUAAGUUGGGAGGAAGGGCAGUAAGCUAAUACCUUGCUGUUUUGACGUUACCGACAGAAUAAGCACCGGCUAACUCUGUGCCAGCGGCCGCGCUAAUACAGAGGGUGCAAGCGUUAAUCGGAAUUACUGGGCGUAAAGCGCGCGGAGGUGGUUUGUUAAGUUGGAUGUGAAAGCCCCGGGCUCAACCUGGGAACUGCAUCCAAAACUGGCAAGCUAGAGUACGGCAGAGGGUGGUGGAAUUUCCUGUGUAGCGGUGAAAUGCGUAGAUAUAGGAAGGAACACCAGUGGCGAAGGCGACCACCUGGACUGAUACUGACACUGAGGUGCGAAAGCGUGGGGAGCAAACAGGAUUAGAUA